UACGAGGGGGGCGAGCGUUGUUCGUAAUUAUUGGGCGUAAAGGGUGCGUAGGCGGUUCGGUAAGUUUCGUGUGAAAUCUUCGGGCUCAACUCGAAGUCUGCACGAGAUACUGCCGGGCUUGAGUGUGGGAGAGGUGAGUGGAAUUUCCGGUGUAGCGGUGAAAUGCGCAGAUAUCAGGAGGAACACCGGUGGCGAAGGCGGAUCUCUGGGCCGAUACUGACGCUGAGGAGCGAAAGCGUGGGGAGCGAACAGG
rnacentral:rRNA from 1 species